CCUACGGGUGGCAGCAGUGAGGAAUAUUGGUCAAUGGGCGCGAGCCUGAACCAGCCAAGUAGCGUGAAGGAUGACUUCCCUACGGGUUGUAAACUUCUUUUAUAAAGGAAUAAAGUGAGGCACGUGUGCCUUUUUGUAUGUACUUUAUGAAUAAGGAUCGGCUAACGCCGUGCCAGCAGCCGCGGUAAUACGGAGGAUCCGAGCGUUAUCCGGAUUUAUUGGGUUUAAAGGGAGCGUAGAGGGGUUGUUAAGUCAGUUGUGAAAGUUUGCGGCUCAACCGUAAAAUUGCAGUUGAUACUGGCAGCCUUGAGUACAGUAGAGGUAGGCGGAAUUCGUGGUGUAGCGGUGAAAUGCGUAGAUAUCACGAAGAACUCCGAUUGCGAAGGCAGCCUACUAAACUGUCACUGACGUUGAUGCUCGAAAGUGUGGGUAUCAAACAGGAUUAGAUACCCUGGUAGUC
rnacentral:rRNA from 1 species